rnacentral:rRNA from 1 species
AUUGAACGCUGGCGGCAUGCCUUACACAUGCAAGUCGAACGGCAGCACGGGUGCUUGCACCUGGUGGCGAGUGGCGAACGGGUGAGUAAUACAUCGGAACGUACCUUAUCGUGGGGGAUAACGCAGCGAAAGCUGUGCUAAUACCGCAUACGCCCUGAGGGGGAAAGCGGGGGAUCGAAAGACCUCGCGCGAUUAGAGCGGCCGAUGCCUGAUUAGCUCGUUGGUGGGGUAAAAGCCCACCAAGGCGACGAUCAGUAGCUGGUCUGAGAGGACGAAGAGCCACACUGGGACUGGGGAACGACCCAGACUCCUACGGGAGGCAGCAGUGGGGAAUUUUGGACAAUGGGGGCAACCCUGAUCCAGCAAUGCCGCGUGGGUGAAGAAGGCCUUCGGGUUGUAAAGCUCUUUUGUCAGGGAAGAAACACCGGCUCUAACACAGUCCGGGAAUGACGGUACCUGAAGAAUAAGCACCGGCUAACUACGUGCCAGCAGCCGCCGUAA